UCAACCUGGUUGAUCCUGCCAGUAGUGAUAUGCUUGUCUCAAAGAUUAAGCCAUGCAUGUCUGAGUACAGACCGAUCUAAGGUGAAACCGCGAAUGGCUCAUUAAAUCAGUCAUAAUUCCUUGGAUAGUGAAAAACUUCCUCGGAUAACUGUGGAAAAUCCAGAGCUAAUACGUGCAACUGAGCUCCGACCUCGGCGCGAGCCUUGGGAAGAGCGCAUUUAUUAGAUUCAAAACUGACCGGUGUACUCCUUCGGGAUGCGCCGUUUGUCGAAAGUUUGAUGACUCCGGAUAACUUAGCCGAGCGCUACRGUCCUAGUACCGGCGCCGUAUCUUUCAAGUGUCUGCCUUAUCAGCUUUCGAUUGUAGGUUAAACGCCUACAAUGGCUGUAACGGGUAACGGGGAAUCAGGGUUCGAUUCCGGAGAGGGAGCCUGAGAAACGGCUACCACAUCUAAGGAAGGCAGCAGGCACGCAAAUUACCCACUCCCAGCCCGGGGAGGUAGUGACGAAAAAUAACGAUGCGAGACUCUUCCGAGGCCUCGCAAUCGGAAUGAGUCCAUUUUAAAUCUUUGGACGAGGAUCAAUUGGAGGGCAAGUCUGGUGCCAGCAGCCGCGGUAAUUCCAGCUCCAAUAGCGUAUAUUAAAGUUGCUGCGGUUAAAAAGCUCGUAGUUGUACUUCCUAGAUCCAUUUCGCGAGCGAGUCGCUCGUUGAGCUAGCGUCUGGCGCAGUUACUCGAUAAAGUCUCGCGAUACGCGACGACGACGACGACGACGUUGCAGCUUGCGUGUAUUUUAAAUAUAUCGCUCGUGUCGYGCGCGCGUUCGUCGUUCUUAGCGUAAACGUGUUUWCCGAAUCUUGUUUACGGUCAGGCGUUGUCUUCGAGUAUUGCUCGUUCGCGUCUGGUACAAUUAAAAUUUUGUCGGCUCGCUCGGAGUGCUCUUUACCGAGUGUUCCAGGGUGGCCGACACGUUUACUUUGAAAAAAUUAGAGUGCUUAAAGCCGGCUUAUACGCGGCCUGAAUGUCUGUGCAUGGAAUGAAGUAACAGGACCUCGAUUCUGUUUUUUUUGUCGGUCUUAUUGAACCGAGGUGAUGAUUAAAAGGGACAGACGGUGGCAUUAGUAUUGCGGCGCUAGAGGUGAAAUUCUUGGACCGCUGCAAGACUAACUACUGCGAAAGCAUUUGCCGAGAAUGUUUUCAUUAAUCAAGAACGAAAGUUAGAGGAUCGAAGGCGAUCAGAUACCGCCCUAGUUCUAACCCUAAACUAUGCUAACUAGCGAUCCGCCGGAGUCAUUCCCACGACCCGGCGGGAAGCCCCAGGGAAACCAAAGUCUUUGAGUUCCGGGGGAAGUAUGGUUGCAAAGCUGAAACUUAAAGGAAUUGACGGAAGGGCACCACCAGGAGUGGAGCCUGCGGCUUAAUUUGACUCAACACGGGAAACCUCACCAGGCCCGGACAUCAUAAAGAUUGACAGGUUGAGGGCUCUUUCUCGAUUUGAUGGGUGGUGGUGCAUGGCCGUUCUUAGUUGGUGGAGUGAUCUGUCUGGUUGAUUCCGAUAACGAACGAGACUCUACCCUACUAACUAGUCGGCGGAUCGUAACCCUGAGAUGGUUAGUUUGUAUAGGGCGGUUUGUCCAGAUGAAGUUUGCGAGCGCAUAUCUAUCUCUCUCCCUCCUUAUCUUCGUUAGCGCGUAUCUGAAAGAAGAAUCAUUCAUUUUGGUUUUCCUCGACGAUUUCGCGCGCGAGUGGCGAGUGCGUGGGAGUGUGUGUGUGUGAGUGGCUUUGUCGAAACUUGCGUCUGAUUACUGCUACUGCUGGGGGCGUCCGUCGCAAUAUAUCUUCUUAGAGGGAUCAGCGGCGUAUAGCCGCACGAGAAAGAGCAAUAACAGGUCUGUGAUGCCCUUAGAUGUUCUGGGCCGCACGCGCGCUACAAUGUAGAGACCAGCGUGCUUUCCUUCUCCGAAAGGAGCGAGUAACCCGUUGAAACCCCUACCCGAUUGGGAUUGGGGAUUGCAAAUAUUUCCCAUAAACGAGGAAUUCCCAGUAAGCGCGAAUCAUUAAUUCGCGCUGAUUACGUCCCUGCCCUUUGUACACACCGCCCGUCGCUACUACCGAUUGAAUGAUUCAGUGAGGGCAUCGGACUGGCGCCUUCGGUUUAGUAACAUAGACCUUAGGCUGACGGAAAGAUGUCCGAACUUGAUCAUUUAGAGGAAGUAAAAGUCGUAACAAGGUUUCCGUAGGUGAACCUGCARAAGGAUCAA
rnacentral:rRNA from 1 species